rfam:Spirochaetes bacterium GWC2_52_13 gwc2_scaffold_412, whole genome shotgun sequence.
AACCGCCGUAUGCCGAACGGCACGUACGGUGGUGUGAGAGGUUGGGGCCUAGCGGCCCCCGCCUACUCGAU